UUUCAUCUCCCAUUCCCAACUUACCCAAACCCUAAUAAAAUCCACCGCCCCAAAAUUCCUGCAACCCUCUGCCGGCGGCGUCACCCCACACAACCCCAAUCCUCCCCAAAAUUACACCAUAAAAUCCCUUCCAUCCCAUUAUUCCAAAUAUCCAACUCGUUUCCUUCAAACCAUCAUCAAGUUCCUCGAAUUUUAGAUCAAAAUCGGAUCCCCCAAAACUCUAAUUAACCCCAAACCCACCAAAAUUAACAUCCUACAGUUCCCAGGCUUCCCCAAACCCAAAGCCCUUGAUGAUUUUCCCAAGCAAGCUCUAGAGUGCGUUAGAUUUGGAAUUUAGGUUUUGACCUAAUUUCAGAGUCGGAGUUGUCUCAAAGAUUUCCACUCAUCGGGGCUCGAAGCUUGCCCUGAUAGAGCACUCCUGACUAAGGGUGUUCAUGAGGGUAAGUUUUCGGCUUUAAUGAAGCAGGUCGAGUGGCCAUGCCGUUCAUCUGCUGCUCUUGGCUAAUGCUUCCGUUUGGUCAGUCAGUCUUUUCUUCUUCUUUUUCUCCUUGUUAAUUAGUUACUUAUUUCUGUUUCUUCUUGUUUCUUUCUUCUUCUUUUAUUAGUUCAAAUCGACUUCUGUUUGCAUGUUAGAUUUAAGUUAUAUUAGUUUAUAGUAAUAUUAGCUUAAUAAUGUAGUUAACAUUUUUUUAGUACUUUUGAUUUUAUGCUUGCCUGGCUCCAUUCUCCUUUUGUUUUGCUUCUUUGGAAUUCUGAUGCCAGGAGUUUCAAAAUUCCAUUGAUUUGUUUGCUUGUGGGUUGUGGUUUUUGGACCAAAAAUUGAGCUUUAUAGUUCAGAAGCCCGAAGCAAAGGGGGAAGGUUCAAGCAUGCUGGGGUCUAGCCCAAUUAGUGGUACUUUCUGAAAAGGUUAAUAACAGAAGUUUAAAGGGUAUUUGGGGCAUUUUUAUUGAAAGAAUCUUUUAUAACUGCCUAGAAAAGUUCUUGGAAAGUGGGGAAUGGGUUGGUUUUAACAAACUGAUUCAAAAUGCAGGGUCUAAAAUGAAAAAAUAAAAAUUGGGGAAGGGGUAAAUGGUGAAGUUAAGAAUCAGAUUUUGCUGCCCUAAAGCUGUAUAUAAAAAGGCUCAUUUCCUGUAUUUGUGAUCAGAGAUUAGAGACCUAAAAGUUAGCAAAUGGCUGAAACUAUACACACUGAUAUAAGUACCAAAAUUAGAAAGAAAAAUACAAAAAAGGAUCAUCAAGUACUGUUCUAUUGCAGUUGGUUUGUUGAUAUUUCUUGGGUUUUAAAAGCUAGAGUAAAUUGUUGUUUUCUUUUGGGUUCCAAACAUGAAAAGCUGAUUGAUGAACUGCUGAAUUAUUGUGAGUAUUUUUGGUUGUUUCAGGUAUGUUUCGGACUUUGAAGUGCAAAAUAAAGUUGGAGUUUCAAUGUGUUUAAAUGAAAUUAGACUUCUCUUUCAGAUUUUGUCUUCUUUUGUUUAACAUUACUUGUAUUAAUUAGUUUGGUAGCCAAUGUUUCUAGUUGUAACUAAAUGUUAGCAUCAACACCCUAUUCCCUAGUAAGAUUCAGAAUUCGAGUGUUCAAAAUCUAAGUCUGUAUAGUACUCUAAUUGCGAUUUUGAGACUGUGCUAAACCAUGG
rnacentral:lncRNA from 1 species